AUACAGGUGACCGUAUCCUGAGCCCCGGGCAGAGGCAGGACCGAGCCGCAAUCUGAACAGAAAUCCAGGUCCGACUGAAAGCUGGAGCAAGUAUUGGCGAGGUCCAUGACAGACAUGCGGUCGGGUCUGAGGAGGGAGUUGGAAGUUUAUUAACAAAAGAGAGAAGAGUUCCUGUCCCAGAGGUCGUAACUAUUCUGUCCCAGGACCUAGGAGUAUAUAACCCGAACCCUCCUGCCACGCACGCCUCCUGCCUCUGCGACCAAGGAGCCGAAACGCCCGGAAUUCCCAGACAGCGUCGGGUACUAAAGGACUUGGAACCCUUUCCAGGGGCCGGUGAGAGGAGUUAACCAACUCCGUGGGCUAGAGCGCCAGCUCUGCGCCCGCGGCGGGGCAGCGAGAUAGAGCCGGCUAGAGCGUCAGGCUUUCGCGUUGACGAUUGGCUGUGACGUCAUAAUUAAUUGCGAACCGUGUCUCGGGAGCGUUAGAGAUGGAGACUAACGUCUUCCAAGGGAGAUUGCGUCUCCACUUUCACCCUGGUACUGAGAGGUUGAGCACAAAAUUGGUAACCAAUGCUGCGCUUCCAGCAAAUUUUCCCACCAGCACCCAAUCCUGGGAUACUUAUUCUCUUUGUCUCACAUCCUACAGGAACGCAGUCGCGGGGUAUAUCCCCCUGAAAACCGUACGUUGCCAAAUAAUGAUUUCUUUGGAUUAGAGAACUACAACUCCCCUGGGUCCUGAGCCGGUAUUUCCCUUUUGCGGCUGCACCGUAGUUAAAAACAAAGCUAAGUGUUCUGGGACGUAUAGUUCUAGCGUUCCUUGGGUCCCGCUGGCGAGCGUGGGCUUUCUGCAGCUCGCAACCGGCCUCGUGCUUUGCGGACGGUUCACUGCGCUUGGAAAGGGAUUGGCCUGGGGUACAUCAUCUAAAGAUCCUAGGAUUGCUGCAGGUCAGCAGUCUCCACUGGAAAAAAAGAUCUUGCAUGUAUUUCAAGUCCUCUGAUGAAUCAUGUGAUCUACUAGACCCUGAAGAUACAGUGAAGAGCAAAAGAACACAGAUGAAAUGAGAAACAAAAACGAUGGAGAAAACCAAAAAAGGGGACACAUGGGAUCCAGGCAAUAGGAGAGCCAGCAUAAGAGAGAGGCAGAGGGAUGCCCAGGAUGAGGUGAAGACGAUCUUGGAAAUCAGCCCAGAUGUGCAUGCACCAGUCCACGUGUGGCAGGACCAAGGGAAGUGUCUUCACAAAGAUGAGGCUUUGAUUUGUUGGAGAAACUGUUACCAGAAAAACAGGUCCCGAUCCCGACCCCAAAAGAGUAUUCUUGGAUCUUGCACAGGAAGGAAUUAAAGGUCUAGCUCUGUCUCCUCAGCACAUGUUCUAGGCUCUGACUGCAAGUGCUGACUUGGGCUCCCAGCCCCACACAGACCCUCUGUUCCAUGAAAGGGCCAUCUAUGCAAAGUGCCCCCCAAAUGCCAAAGGAGCCAAUAAACCAAGGAACAAGACA
rnacentral:lncRNA from 1 species